GAUUUCUGGACUCAAGAACUUGGCCGGCCACGGUUUCGUGUGUUAGUGCUUUGUUCUUUGUCCAUCCUUCCAAUCGCUACUGGCUUUUCUUCAUUGAAUGGUCAGUGGUAUUGGAUCUUUUACUUUGAAAAAAUUAGAGUGUUUCAAGCAGGCUUUAUGCUAUGAAUACAUUAGCAUGGAAUAAUAAUUUAGGACUUCGGUUCUAUUUUGUUGGUUUCUAGGACUGAAGUAAUGAUUGAUAGGGAUAGUUGGGGGUGCUAGUAUUCAGCGGCCAGAGGUGAAAUUCUCGGAUUCGCUGAAGACUAACUUAUGCGAAAGCAUU
rnacentral:rRNA from 1 species